AAUUAAUUAUCUAAUGGAUUUAGUAUUAAAUUCUGAAAAAAAUAUUUAAUUUGUGUAGGGCUGGGGUUGGGGGUUGCCAAUUUAUGGAUGGGGGGGCUGGGGUUAUGGCGGUCCUUGGGGAUAUUAUGGAGGAUUUUACCGUUAAAACAAUAUAAAUACUCGGAAAUAUUUACUGAUGUCCAUGAACGCUUAUGACUUUUUUGGGGUCUUCUUCUCCUUCACAAAUCUUCCUCAAUCGGCUUUUCAAAUAUAUUUUUCUAAAUCAAGAUGAGUUCAAAUGUGUAAAAAUUAAGUUUAAAAAAUUGUCAAGAUUCUAUUUUUCAUGAAUUUACAUAUGUAUGUGAACCAUAUGUGAACUAUAUGCGUCAAGCUAAAACCUAUUUAUUUAUUAAUUGGCAAUUUCAUUUAUUUGAUAAUCACUUAAUUGGCAUUAAGUUAUUACAUUUUAUUAAAUUUACAAGAAAAUGAUCUUUCAAGUGCACAAUUUUUUAUUUGUCUAUUUUUUGAAUUGUUUUUAAGUAAUUCAAAACGCAUAAUUAAGAUGCUGCUCCUUCACCCGUUAAACAGAGUGUUAACUAUGUUUAAUUGCUGGCAUGUCCUUCCCAAACGUGUCGUCAUCUUUUUUCAGGUUAGAAUUUGUAAUGUUAAGCAUAACAUUUACUCAAAUUAUGAUAAAAUUGUGCAUCAUGAAUUCAGUCAUGUUCCAAAAUUUUGCAACCAACUCAUUUGGUUUACACGGUUUUGCUGCACUUUUAAUGCACCAAGUGACAUAUGGAUUUUGAAAUCAAGACGACAUUGAGACGAUGAUUAUGUAAUAAAUUCCGAAAAUGCAGACUUUUGGGUAUAAAUGGGCGCUGAUCUCUGCAAAAGCACCAAAACAGACUUCAAGCCGAAGAACGAGGGCUGGCUUACAUUUCUGUAAUAUCUUAAAAUAGAGGGAGUAAAAAAUGUGGAGAAUUUCGGAACAAAUAGUGAUUGUUUUUUCGUUACUCAUCGCAUUCACUGCAGCAAAAGAUUAUGCAGACACGUACGACACGUCAGAAACCGUGAAUGGUGGACCACCACCAAAUUUUGGACCGUGGGACGCAUACGGUCCCCCACUUCCGGCUGGAGGAGGUCUCAAAUCAUACAAGUUGUUAGAAUUUCCUCAAAAUGGGGGAGGUCUCUGGGGUCCUGAAAUUCAGCAAGUUCCAAUUCCAAUCCCGUUCCCGGCAGGACCUGGAUUUGGGUGGCCAUUGUCCCCACAUUUUCAGCAAAUUCCACAAAUUAUCCCACUGCCCGGGUGGGGCUGGCCGCCUGGAUUUCCAUUUCAUCGAUGAGAAAUUAACCAAAUUUUUGUACUUUUCUAUAUAUUUUGUACAGGAAGCGGAUGAACUUGUGGCAUAAUAAAGAAAAUAAAAUGAUGAGUAAAACAAA